rnacentral:rRNA from 1 species
UUUAUCGGAGAGUUUGAUCCUGGCUCAGGACGAACGCUGGCGGCGUGCCUAAUACAUGCAAGUCGAGCGGAUUGAUGGGAGCUUGCUCCCUGAUAUCAGCGGCGGACGGGUGAGUAACACGUGGGUAACCUGCCUGUAAGACUGGGAUAACUCCGGGAAACCGGGGCUAAUACCGGAUAACUCAUUUCCUCGCAUGAGGAAAUGUUGAAAGGUGGCUUUUAGCUACCACUUACAGAUGGACCCGCGGCGCAUUAGCUAGUUGGUGAGGUAACGGCUCACCAAGGCAACGAUGCGUAGCCGACCUGAGAGGGUGAUCGGCCACACUGGGACUGAGACACGGCCCAGACUCCUACGGGAGGCAGCAGUAGGGAAUCUUCCGCA